GGCUCACACUCCCACUUCUGUCCAUGCAGAGCCUUUGCUGCAUGCUCCCUGCUGACAAGAUGAUCCCACAGCUGGGUGUGGGCAUUCCAGAGAAUUAAGCCUGUGUAUGAAAGCACAUCUCAUAGAAACCAUGAGCACGUGCCAAGCAUUCCUGAAUUACCACGCUGGAAAUGUCUGAGGUUUUGGCAGCUUGCUGUCUUACAAAUAGUCCAUGAAUAC
rnacentral:lncRNA from 1 species